rnacentral:tRNA from 3 species
GGCCCGUUGGUCAAGUGGUUAAGACACUGCCCUUUCACGGCAGUAACACGGGUUCGAAUCCCGUACGGGUCACCA